rnacentral:rRNA from 1 species
GACGAACGCUGGCGGCGUGCCUAAUACAUGCAAGUCGAACGGACUUUUCUAUGGAAGCUUGCUUCCACUGAGAAGAUAGUGGCGAACGGGUGAGUAACACGUGGGUAACCUGCCCAUAAGAGGGGGAUAACAUCCGGAAACGGGUGCUAAUACCGCAUAGUUUUCUUGAUCGCAUGACUGAGAAAGGAAAGACGGCCUUUGUGCUGUCGCUUAUGGAUGGACCCGCGGCGUAUUAGUUAGUUGGUGAGGUAACGGCUCACCAAGACGAUGAUACGUAGCCGACCUGAGAGGGUGAUCGGCAACAUUGGGACUGAGACACGGCCCAAACUCCUACGGGAGGCAGCAGUAGGGAAUCUUCCGCAAUGGACGAAAGUCUGACGGAGCAACGCCGCGUGAGUGAAGAAGGUUUUCGGAUCGUAAAGCUCUGUUGUCAGAGAAGAACAAGUUGGAGAGUAACUGCUCCAGCCUUGACGGUAUCUGACCAGAAAGCCACGGCUAACUACGUGCCAGCCGCCGCCGUAAAAC